rnacentral:tmRNA from 1 species
GAGGUCUCUUUGACAAACUGCAAGCAGACUUUGACUCUUUAAGUCUUUGAUUAGAGUCAAAAAUAAAAGCUAAUCGCAAUGAUUACGCUGUAGCCUACGCCUAAAAACGUUUUUAGGCUACUGUUCACCAAUUUGUUUUCUAUCCGAAUUGGAUGGGCAUAAACCCGAUAGGAUAUGCUAGUAGCUAGUGACUAGUAACUAGUAGUGAAGUUUUUAGUCUCACUUUAAUUCAUCUUGUUGGUUAGUAAGAAUUAGAGAACAUUAAAAAACCAACUAAGCUUGUAGAAGUUUUUUCAAAAACGCUUUUUCGGACGCGGGUUCGAUUCCCGCC